GACGAACGCUGGCGGCGUGCCUAACACAUGCAAGUCGAACGGAACUUCUUUAAAGGAUUUCUUCGGAAUGAUUUUGAUUAAGUUUAGUGGCGGACGGGUGAGUAACGCGUGAGUAACCUGCCUCUGAGAGGGGAAUAACAUUCUGAAAAGAAUGCUAAUACCGCAUAACAUAUAUUUAUCGCAUGGUAGAUAUAACAAAGAUUUAUCGCUCAGAGAUGGACUCGCGUCCGAUUAGUUAGUUGGUGAGGUAACGGCUCACCAAGACCGCGAUCGGUAGCCGGACUGAGAGGUUGAACGGCCACAUUGGGACUGAGACACGGCCCAGACUCCUACGGGAGGCAGCAGUGGGGGAUAUUGCGCAAUGGGGGAAACCCUGACGCAGCAACGCCGCGUGAAGGAUGAAGGUCUUCGGAUUGUAAACUUCUUUUAUUAAGGACGAAGAAAGUGACGGUAC
rnacentral:rRNA from 1 species